GUCCACGCCCUAAACGAUGAACACUCGCUGUUGGCGAUACACAGUCAGCGGCUAAGCGAAAGCGUUAAGUGUUCCACCUGGGGAGUACGGUCGCAAGAUUGAAACUCAAAGGAAUUGACGGGGCCCGCACAAGCGGAGGAGCAUGUGGUUUAAUUCGAUGAUACGCGAGGAACCUUACCCGGGCUUGAAAGUUAGUGAAUGGUUUAGAGAUAGGCCAGUCCGCAAGGACACGAAACUAGGUGCUGCAUGGCUGUCGU
rnacentral:rRNA from 1 species